ensembl:lncRNA
CAGACGGUUCACCUCACAAGACCGGGGUCAACCACGGCUAACAGCAUGAACGACGGCGCUUCAAUGCACAAUGAGGGACGUCUGCAGCGACUGAGAGAGUCUCACCACAUCCUGACAUGAGGAAAAAGACUUUAUUGAAGACUACAAUGAGAAAAACUAUCCAGACAGCAGACGGCUGCAUUCAAGCUGCUGAAUUCAUGGAUGAAUCGUCUGGCACUAGAGAGCAAGACCAUCAAACAUCCAUGUCAGCUGAUGGAGGCCCAAGAGUCUCACCAAACAAACAACCUACAGAGUGAAGACCUCAAAUCUGAUUGGAUGGCCUCCUAUUCAGCCACAUGUGUGAACAAAUGCCUCUAAGCUGAUUUGUUUUCUAAAAUAAAUCUAGUUUGUGUUCUAAUCAAUGCCUGUGUGUUUGCUUCUUUACACCGCUGUUAACAGUUUAGGCUGUUAGAUUGUUCCAGAUAAGACAAGUACAAGAUUCUUCAGAGCCGUUCUACCACAAGCCUGACAGGAAGAACUCCAACAGCUACUGAAUGUUCC